rnacentral:misc_RNA from 1 species
UAUAGUCAUUACAGGCGAGAAGUAUAUUGCACACAAAACUUCUACUGAAAAAAAGAAGUUCUUACUAGCCUAAAGGCGCCUAAACUAAUAAAACGAACACCUGAGAAACAUUGUCAAGCAUGUUUCUACAUUUCGGAUAAAAAAGAUAAUGCAUUUAAUCAAAUGUCAAGUCGAGGUAAUCCCAUGUUUGAUGAAAACAAACUAUUGAAACCGAGGAUGCAGAAAUGGACAUGGAUGUAACAUUGAUGAGAACUCGAAAGGUUUCAUUCUUAACAAUCAUAUCUAAAGAUUAGUGCAAGUUAGACAUAUUAGGCAGACCAAAG